rnacentral:snRNA from 1 species
UCACUUCAGCAGCGCCUAUACUAAAUUGGAAUGAUACAGAAAGAUUAGCAUGCCCCUGCCCAGGAUGACAUGGAAUUGUGAGCAUCAUAUUUUU